CAGCCGUAAACUAUGCUCGCUAGGUGUCAGGCAUGGCGCGACCGUGUCUGGUGCCGCAGGGAAGCCGUGAAGCGAGCCACCUGGGAAGUACGGCCGCAAGGCUGAAACUUAAAGGAAUUGGCGGGGGAGGCACAACAACGGGUGGAGCCUGCGGGUUUAAUUUGGACUCAACGCCGGACAACUCACCGGGAACGGACAGCAAUAUGUAGGCCAGGCUGAAGACCUUGCCUGAAUCGCUGAGAGGAGGUGCAUGGC
rnacentral:rRNA from 1 species